rnacentral:rRNA from 1 species
GACGAACGCUGGCGGCGUGCUUAACACAUGCAAGUCGAACGGAAAGGCCCUGCUUUUGUGGGGUGCUCGAGUGGCGAACGGGUGAGUAACACGUGAGUAACCUGCCCUUGACUUUGGGAUAACUUCAGGAAACUGGGGCUAAUACCGGAUAGGAGCUCCUGCUGCAUGGUGGGGGUUGGAAAGUUUCGGCGGUUGGGGAUGGACUCGCGGCUUAUCAGCUUGUUGGUGGGGUAGUGGCUUACCAAGGCUUUGACGGGUAGCCGGCCUGGGAGGGUGACCGGCCACAUUGGGCCUGAGAUACGCACCAGACUCGUACGGGAGGCAGCAGUGGGGAAUAUUGCCCAAUGGGCGGAAGCCUGAUGCAGCAGCGCCGCGUGCGUGAUGACGGCCUUCGGGUUGUAAACCGCUUUCGCCUGUGACGAAGCGUGAGUGACGGUACUGGGUAAAGAAGCACCGGCUAACUACGUG